rnacentral:misc_RNA from 1 species
AAGUCGUAACAAGGUUUCCGUAGGUGAACCUGCGGAAGGAUCAUUAAAGAGUUAGGGUCCUAGUGGCCCAACCUCCAACCCUCUGUUGUUAAAACUACCUUGUUGCUUUGGCGGGACCGUUCGGUCUCCGAGCGCGUUAACCCUCGGGUUGGCGAGCGCCCGCCAGAGUCCAACCAAACUCUUGUAUUAAACCAGUCGUCUGAGUAUAAAAUUUUAAUUAAAUUAAAACUUUCAACAACGGAUCUCUUGGUUCUC